rnacentral:lncRNA from 1 species
AAGGGAUUGGACCCUUAGCUGUCUGGCUGCAACUCACCUGCUGUGCCCUCAGCUUUUUCUGGUGUGCAGAUAGAGGGUGGGACUGGCAUUGCCUGGGACAGUCCCUAACCUGGGACAGCCUUCGAUGAUAUCACACCUGCACACCUCUGCAAGGAACCCGGUGGAGAGGAUGAGUGAAAUAGCCUGUGGGCAGCAGAGCCUGGAAGAACAGAGAACGGCAGGCAUGGCCCUGCUAUUCGCAGGGGGUUGCGUCUUCUUCCCGUUGUGCUUCACUGUCCUGCGCUGGGGCUUGCAGAACCACG